UGAGAGCGGUAGCCUAGCCCCAGAUCUGUCUGUCUCUGUCCGGAGCCCCACAGAGAAGGGAAGACUAACAUGAGAGCGGUAGCCUAGCCCCAGAUCUGUCUGUCUCUGUCCGGAGCCCCACAGAGAAGGGAAGACUAACAUGAGAGCGGUAGCCUAGCCCCAGAUCUGUCUGUCUGUCUCUGUCCGGAGCCCCACAGAGAAGGGAAGACUAACAUGAGAGCGGUAGCCUAGCCCCAGAUCUGUCUGUCUGUCUCUGUCCGGAGCCCCACAGAGAAGGGAAGACUAACAUGAGAGCGGUAGCCUAGCCCCAGAUCUGUCUGUCUCUGUCCGGAGCCCCACAGAGAAGGGAAGACUAACAUGAGAGCGGUAGCCUAGCCCCAGAUCUAUCUGUCUGUCUCUGUCCGGAGCCCCACAGAGAAGGGAAGACUAACAUGAGAGCGGUAGUCUAGCCCCAGAUCUGUCUGUCUGUCUCUGUCUGGAGCCCCACAGAGAAGGGAAGACUAACAUGAGAGCGGUAGCCUAGCCCCAGAUCUGUCUGUCUCUGUCUGGAGCCCCACAGAGAAGGGAAGACUAACAUGAGAGCGGUAGCCUAGCCCCAGAUC